GAUGAAGAACGUAGCGAAAUGCGAUAAGUAGUGUGAAUUGCAGAAUUCAGUGAAUCAUCGAAUCUUUGAACGCACAUUGCGCCCCUUGGUAUUCCAUGGGGCAUGCCUGUUCGAGCGUCAUUUGUACCUUCAAGCUCUGCUUGGUGUUGGGUGUUUGUCUCGCCUCUGCGUGUAGACUCGCCUUAAAACAAUUGGCAGCCGGCGUAUUGAUUUCGGAGCGCAGUACAUCUCGCGCUUUGCACUCAUAACGACGACGUCCAAAAGUACAUUUUUACACUCUUGGCCUCGGAUCAGGUAGGGAUACCCGCUGAACUUAAGCAUAUCAAAAGCGGAGGA
rnacentral:misc_RNA from 1 species